rnacentral:misc_RNA from 1 species
GUUCAUGAGAGUUCUAUUGAUGAUUGUUGGUUUGCAGAAGUCAGUUCAUGUUUGCGUUCCUCGCUUAAGUAUAUCCGGGGUGUUACUUUGUCAUCUAUUUGUUCCGUUUUCUACAUCUGUGAGUGGGCAACUUGUGAUUUCAGGGAUUUCCGUUUUGCACCACCACGUGGAAUGAAGUUCACUGGGAGGAAGGAUUUUUCUGCUAUAUAUGUUGCUGUAAGGCUUUUGAAACUGAAGAUGAGAGAGACAGGAAUUUCAUCAAGGCCUA